rnacentral:misc_RNA from 1 species
GAUGAGAACGUAGCGAAAUGCGAUAAGUAGUGUGAAUUGCAGAAUUCAGUGAAUCAUCGAAUCUUUGAACGCACAUUGCGCCCCUUGGUAUCCCGAGGGGCAUGCCUGUUCGAGCGUCAUUUCACCACUCAAGCCUGGCUUGGUGUUGGGCGACGUCCUCUUUGGGGACGCGCCUCGAAACGCUCGGCGGCGUGGCACCGGCUUUAAGCGUAGCAGAAUCUUUCGCUUUGGAAGUCGGGGCCCCGUCUGCCGGAAGACCUGCUCGCAAGGUUGACCUCGGAUCAGGCAGGGAUACCCGCUGAACUUAAGCAUAUCAAUAAGCGGAGGA